rnacentral:rRNA from 1 species
GAUGAACGCUAGCGGCAGGCCUAAUACAUGCAAGUCGGACGGGAUCCGUCGGAGAGCUUGCUCGAAGACGGUGAGAGUGGCGCACGGGUGCGUAACGCGUGAGCAACCUACCUCUAUCAGGGGGAUAGCCUCUCGAAAGAGAGAUUAACACCGCAUAAUAUCAACAGUUCGCAUGUUCGGUUGAUUAAAUAUUUAUAGGAUAGAGAUGGGCUCGCGUGACAUUAGCUAGUUGGUAGGGUAACGGCUUACCAAGGCGACGAUGUCUAGGGGCUCUGAGAGGAGAAUCCCCCACACUGGUACGGAGACACGGACCAGGCUCCUACGGGAGGCAGCAGUAAGGAAUAUUGGUCAAUGGGCGGAAGCCUGAACCAGCCAUGCCGCGUGCAGGAUGACUGCCCUAUGGGUUGUAAACUGCUUUUGUCCAGGAAUAAACCUAGAUACGUGUAUCUAGCUGAAUGUACUGGAAGAAUAAGGAUCGGCUAACUCCGUGCCAGCCGCCGCGGUAAAAC